ACUCAUACAACAAUAGCAAAGUUUACUUACCUUAGAUAGGACACAAAUUUACUAGGAUUAUAGUGAAAAAAAAAAAGAAAAAAAAAAAGAAAAGAACUAGCUGUGUGAUUUGAGAGCUGUGAAACUACCACAGCUAUACAGAAUAAAUUGGUUGUAGUCAGUUAAAUAAUUUGGUAUUCAUUAGACAUUAUGCAGAAUGCCACAAACCAGAAUUAGGUAUUUCAGAAAGCAAUGUGUUAAGUGUUCAUAACAUUCUAUGAAUUUUAUAUGAAAUGCAAUAGGAUUAUGCAUGAGGAAUACCGUUCAUUAAUCAAAUUUAGUGUACACAGUGGAAAAGAAAAUCUGAGCUUUAAAAUGUCAGCAGCAUGAUCAAAGAACACCAAAUGCAGUAGCUGUUGUCUCUUAAUGUUUUUGUAUGAAAACAUCAUGACAGCACAGCUGAUGUCAGUCAUUAUCUUGUUUUUUUUUUUGUUUUGUUUUUUUAACACCGCAAUCAUAUGCUGUCCCAGUACAGAAUGAUGAGAAAGUCAAGAUAUCAUAAAGUCAUCAGUACACUUGCAAUGCAUGCGGGUGUACAUUUUGAUUUGGAAAUGAUAUUAAACCAUACUGGUUUAUGCAAAUGAGUGGCAUUUGAGUACCAGCUAUGAGAACGGAACACAUGAGCAGAAUGCAUCAAUUUUGCAAGCAAAUGCAUACGACAACCGCAAAUAACACAGCACUUCAGUUCCCAACUGUGACUUUCACAUGUUAUCUUCUUUAGCUAUUAAUCAGAUAAUUGAUAUCAAACACGUACACAACCGCUCAAAGUUUGGGGUAAUUAAGAUUUUUUCUCUUGAAAAAAAUUAAUACUUUUAUUUAGCAAGGCUGCAUUAAAAUGAUCAAAAGUGGUUUGUUUUCAGAAAAAUUUGACAUUUAAGACUUGAGAAACAGCUGCUGAAAAAUAAAUAGCAUUUUAAAACAUUAAAAUAGAAUACAUUUCAAUACAAAAUAGAAGGCAUUUCAAAUGACAUAUGGGCAAAAUAAUGCAUAAAGUCUGAAAACUUUGUCUUUUCUUUUCUUUUUUUGUUACUCAUAAAAUAUAGUUCUAGAAUUUCUUUGAGUGAGAUGUCAGGGCACAUAUUAUGACAAACUAAACGAGCAAAAACCGUGAUUUUAUUCCAACUUGAAAGUCAGAAAAGUAAACUUUUUUUUUUACUAAAACUACUGCAACUAAGAAAGGACAAAGAACAGAAAAAGGUGUGUGCUGUCAUUCACAAAAGCAAGGCAUAAAGCUUUGUUUGAAAAAGGUCAGAGUUUCACUGCCAGUGACUCUCCUAUUGUGUCCACAGUUUGUGUAGUGAUUACUUACAUCUCCACUAACAUCUGUAGAUGAGAACUCUGAACACCAUUUCCAUGCAUGUAACAUCUGUGUAUAGACUGAAAUGACUUUCAGGAAACAUUCAAAUUCAAAACACUUCAAGAAGCAUAAUGACAAUGAGUGAAUUAGGGCAUAGAAGCAGAUUUCACUAAAUGAUUCCAUCUGUAUGCUCUGUUUAUAGAAAAGGGACGUUAAACUGGACUAAUGCAACACAGCAAAGUAUCUCCCUAACUGAUUGUUAGUAAUAAGAAUCUAAUAAUAGACUACUUCCCCACUGCUCAUUGUUAUAAGUAAGUACAAGAACCUCUGAAUUUACAAACUGAAACAAUAAACCUAAUGAUAAAAUCUUUCAUAUCUAUUCAUUCAUUUGCUUAAUAUAGUCACAGACUGUGAAUACUGGAGAAAAUAAAACAUUUUUGAAAGCUAGAUGACCAAUACCAUUUAAAGACAAAGUUCCGCUCUAUGCAAACAUACUGACCACACCGCAAUGAAUGAAAUUUUGUAGGUUUUAAUCAUAUCUGUUCUAGAUGCAUGUACAUCUUUAAUACAGGAACAUUUACAAGGAAGUCUUACUGUGGGAGAUUUACUGAAAAAGUAAGCCUAUUUAUGCCUUACAGGUAACUUGGUAUUUUACAAAUAAAAUGACGGAAAGGGCAAAAUGCAAAAUAUUUAGAAGAAGGUGUUGACUUUCAACCACUUUCCAGAAUCCUAAAACAGCUGCUCAAUGUUGACAAGUUCCCACAGCAGUCAGUCCCUCUGGAUUUUGCAAUUUCAAUACAUAUUCAAGCAAUCUCUGCAUUAUUUGCAAUAGCUUACAACGUCUGUCUCAUACUACCAUCACAUGGCUUCCAGGCUAGAAGACAAUUUUACUAGUCAUUUGUUUACACAUUCAGCUCCAUGGGAACCAACAUAAUUGUCAACAGGACUGUUUAGUUACAUUGCAAAAAAAUGUUUUCCAGUACAAAUAUCUAAAUAUUCUUAAAUCAAGAUAUUUAUUUGAUAAGCAAAAUGAUUUAAGAUAAUAAGUCUUGUUUUCCAAGUUUAUGUUUAAGAAAAAAGAGUCUUAAUUCAAAGGAAAAACGAUUAAAAAAAAACUAUUUGUCUUACCGACUGAAUAUUACCAAUAUCCUGUCAUUUUGCUCAUCAAAUAAAUGUUUCUUGAUAUAAGAAUAUUUACAUAAUUGCAACUUUUUUCUUCUUUAGAGUAUCUUUGUACCAGUUAUUAAGAAAGAUUUCUAUUUGAGCAUUGUGUUGUUUCAUUACAUGUGUUGUUUACAACUCCAUGACAGAUAAAACUUUCAUUAAAACAGUUAUAAGUUUGCUCAUAAUUAAUAAAUUAAGGAGGAAACAUCCUUAGAACUGUUCUAUUAUAAGGCAUAUUAAAAUGUAAUGAUUUUUUUAACAAUUAAAGCAACACAAAAAACAAAGAUUAAAAUACCAAUUAUUAAUAUGGCAAAUUUCAUUUAAUUUUUUCCAUUAAAUUAAUUGGGAGAAAAUUUAAUUUAAUGCCUCCCACAGACAAAAAGAUCAUGUUUUAUUUUAAAAAGUAACAUCUGAGAAUUUUCAAAAAGAGAGAGUGGAAAGGGGUGUCAAAAAUGGCAAGGUUUAUAACAGGAGAGAGUGUGGCUCAUGUUCUCCAUGAAGAAACUGAUGUUUCACUCACACUGAGCUUGUAACAAUCUUGUACUUCUGAACUUUAGGGGCGAGACUGUCCCUCCCACCUCUGCUAUCUCUAAAUACAACUCCUGAGGCAAAGGAAGCAGUUAGCAGAUGCUGCACUCGCAGAAACUGUUGCCCCUCGCCCAAACUUCCAUGCAAAGGGGAAGCGGAGUUUGUCCAUCUUGCACCGUUUCCGUGCGCUUUGAAAAAUAACCCUGAGUUGUUGUUAAGCUCAGGCAUGAUCUGAUAACAAGACAUGGGACACUGAGUCCCGGGUCCCCAUCUCGCCGUUCUCGUUGCACAGGGUGGGUGUCUGUUCACUGGCUUGAGCAGGCUUGCUUUCCUGUCCCUCUCACUCGUUCAUUUGCUAGUUCGCUCUGGCGUGCUCUCCCUACCCCCACACAUUCUCACAGGCUGCUGCACAAGCUUUUUUCGAGAGAGAUGUAGGUCAUCAGAAGAAUUAAUUUUUUAAAUUGCAAAUAAAACAAAAAUUUGGGAGUAAUUUUUACAUUUUAUUUUUGGAGUACAUUUUACUAUUUCAGCCCUUCUGCUUCAAAAUUCCACAUUUAAUUCACCAUACUUGCUGAUAAUUUGUAAUUCAAAGUAAAUCCUACACCUAUUUUUGUCAGCGCAGAAUGAUGUACAGCAGGAUAAUAUAAUAUUUUAUUCACCUAAUCAGACAUAAUAACAACAAUAAUUGUUAAUUGUUUGUUAAAAUAAUAAUCAUUACUUUAUUCCCAAUAUUAAUGACAACAAUCAUUCAUUAUUGUUAUCAUUAUUAUUGGCAACAAUUAUUAUUAUUGUUAAUUAUAUGAGCUGAACAUUGUUAGACAAUCUUUACUUUUAUUAACCUCAAAUAAUUGAAAGAUUUAAAUAACUGCAUUCUCAGCCAAAUCAAAGCACUUCAGUUUCAAGCCUGCAGAUAGAAUUUGACACUGUCAAGCUUGAGGUGUCAUUAAUCACCAUGCUGAAUCUCUCGACUUGACAUUAGCUUGCACUUC
rnacentral:lncRNA from 1 species